rnacentral:misc_RNA from 1 species
UCCGGUUUGGCACCGGCAGUCCCCCGAGAGUCCUCGCCAUGACGCGUUAGCAACACGGGGCGGGGGUUGCGCUCGUUGCGGGACUUAACCCAACAUCUCACGACACGAGCUGACGACAGCCAUGCAGCACCUGUGCUGGUGCUCCGAAGAGGGCCCGAUGUUUCCACCGGGUUUCACCAGCAUGUCAAGCCUAGGUAAGGUUCUGCGCGUUGCGUCGAAUUAAACCACAUGCUCCACCGCUUGUGCGGGCCCCCGUCAAUUCCUUUGAGUUUCAGCCUUGCGGCCGUACUCCCCAGGCGGGGCACUUCAUGCGUUAGCGCCGGUACCCCGGGGGUCGCUCCCCAAAGCACCUAGUGCCCAUCGUUUACGGCGUGGACUAC